CAUCCUCCAAGGCUAAAUACUCCUGACUGACCGAUAGUGAACCAGUACCGUGAGGGAAAGGCGAAAAGAACCCCGGCGAGGGGAGUGAAAAAGAACCUGAAACCGUGUACGUACAAGCAGUGGGAGCCCCACCACUAAGCCAGUGGUGAACUCCACAUACGCAUCCUUUGCUGAGGAUGCGGUUAACGGAGCGAAAGCGACGUUCAACCGCAAAAGAAGCAGAGGGGGCUUAGUGGUGGGGUGACUGCGUACCUUUUGUAUAAUGGGUCAGCGACUUAUAUUCUGUAGCAAGGUUAACCGAAUAGGGGAGCCGGAGGGAAACCGAGUCUUAAUUGGGCGUUAAGUUGCAGGGUAUAGACCCGAAACCCGGUGAUCUAGCCAUGGGCAGGUUGAAGGUUGGGUAACACUAACUGGAGGACCGAACCGACUAAUGUUGAAAAAUUAGCGGAUGACCUGUGGCUGGGGGUGAAAGGCCAAUCAAACCGGGAGAUAGCUGGUUCUCCCCGAAAGCUAUUUAGGUAGCGCCUCGUGAAUUCAUCUCCGGGGGUAGAGCACUGUUUCGGCUAGGGGGCCAUCCCGGCUUACCAACCCGAUGCAAACUGCGAAUACCGGAGAAUGUUAUCACGGGAGACACACGGCGGGUGCUAACGUCCGUCGUGAAGAGGGAAACAACCCAGACCGCCAGCUAAGGUCCCAAAGUCAUGGUUAAGUGGGAAACGAUGUGGGAAGGCCCAGACAGCCAGGAUGUUGGCUUAGAAGCAGCCAUCAUUUAAAGAAAGCGUAAUAGCUCACUGGUCGAGUCGGCCUGCGCGGAAGAUGUAACGGGGCUAAACCAUGCACCGAAGCUGCGGCAGCGA
rnacentral:rRNA from 1 species